UCCCACAAUGGAGAAGGCAUAAUGAGGCUUCCAGCCUAUCCUGGCGCUCUCCAAUGGCUCUGCUGCCAGGAGCCGGAAGAUUCCUGUAGAUGGCGUUAUGGAGUAUGCCCCUGGUUUAGCCAUUUGGUGCAAAUCAGCUUCAGGUUUUGCAGAUCAAAUCCAGGCAUACUAGUGGGCUUAUUUUGCCCCAGAAGCAAAUACGCUGGAUAUGUUGGCUUAUGUUGGAAAUGGCCAGUGGUGGGCUUACCUGCUUCCAUUCAUUGA